GACGAACCGUCCAAACGUUAUUCGGAAUCAUUGGGCUUAAAGGGUGCGUAGGCGGUGCUGUAAGUCGGGUGUGAAAGCCUCGGCUCAACCCAGGAAGUGCGCCCGAUACUGCAGUGCUUGAGGGAGACAGAGGCGAGCGGAACUGAUGGUGGAGCGGUGAAAUGCGUUGAUAUCAUCAGGAACACCGGUGGCGAAAGCGGCUCGCUGGGUCUCUUCUGACGCUGAGGCACGAAAGCUAGGGUAGCGAACGGG
rnacentral:misc_RNA from 1 species